rnacentral:rRNA from 1 species
UACGGGGGGGGCAAGCGUUGUUCGGAAUUACUGGGCGUAAAGGGCUCGUAGGCGGCCAACUAAGUCGGACGUGAAAUCCCUCGGCUUAACCGGGGAACUGCGUCCGAUACUGGAUGGCUGGAGUUUGGGAGAGGAAAGUGGAAUUCCGCGUGUAGUGGUGAAAUGCGUAGAGAUGCGGAGGAACACCAGUGGCGAAAGCGGCUUUCUGGUCCUUAACUGACGCUGAGGCGCGAAAGCAUGGGGAGCGAACGGG